GCAUUCUGGAAAUGGAUUCAGGCUAACAGAGUGUUCUGAAUAGAGACGCCUAAAACAAGAGCCAAAGACAUAGCAAUGGAGAACGUGGGUGGUACAGCCCUCCACCCUGGCGAGCAGCACAUUAGAAUCACGUAGGAGCUUAAAAAGUACUGACUGGCCUGGUCUUUUUCGGUGUGAAGGUGGGAUGCAGGCUUCCUGGGGUUAUCCUCUCGUACAGCCAGAGUUGAGAACCAUCUGAGUAGCGCUUGUCACACUUCUGGCCACAUCAGAAUCGUCUGAGGGACUUGUUCACUGCAGGUUGCUGGGUCCCAUCUCUAGCCUCUGAUCCAGUAGCCUGGGGUGGGGCACAGGAUGUCCUGCUGCUGGGGUCUGGGCAGCGCUAUGAGAACUGCUGACGUUGGAGCUCGAUCAGGCAAUUGGACCACCCAAAUGGCAAACUAAAAGCAUAGAAGCGGACACCAGAGGCUCCUGGACCUGAGAUGUGGCCCUGGAAGUGACCAGAUGUGGUCUCAAGAGAUGGGGGCCCAGGGCUAGGAAUGCCGCCAUCCGGGGAGGCCCUAGAGCAGAGC
rnacentral:lncRNA from 10 species